UACGGAGGGUGCAAGCGUUAUCCGGAUUUACUGGGUUUAAAGGGUGUGUAGGCGGGCUUUUAAGUCAGUGGUGAAAUCUCCGGGCUCAACCCGGAAACUGCCAUUGAUACUAUUAGUCUUGAAUUCUGUUGAGGUUGGCGGAAUAAGUCAUGUAGCGGUGAAAUGCUUAGAUAUGACGCAGAACACCAAUUGCGAAGGCAGCUUGCUACACUGUUAUUGACACUGAGGCACGAAAGCGUGGGGAUCAAACAGG
rnacentral:rRNA from 1 species